rnacentral:lncRNA from 1 species
UAUAUUUUUUUGUGCACUGUUCAUAUGAACAGUGUUUUCAUGGGACACUGUUCAUAUCAACAGUGAAUACAUUGCUUCUUCCCGAAAUUAUCAUUAUUUUUAUUUUUAUUUUUAUUUUUAUUUUUUAUUAUAAAUUUUAUAUGAAGGCACGCAAGGAAUUGACUUUAGAUUUGAGGUGGAUCAUGAUUGUUGAUUUGCUUGAACUUGUUCUUGAGCCCAAUGACAUUUAAUUCUUACUAAACCGCUUCAGAUUGAACUCAACCAGACCAGACUGUGAC